ACACCUUUCUCGACCUUUUGACUAAGAUCAAGUGUAGUAUAUGUUUUUACCAGUUUAGUAUCUGAUACAUGAGGUCCCGUCCUCACAAUGAUAUUAAAUUUAUUUUUUUGGAAGAGAGCUUUUAUGGUAGCUUGCUAUUUGGGCUCCCAUGUGUCUCCCUAGUGUUGCACUAUUGCUUGAGAUUGGCGCACCCCAA